GCACAGAGCCCGACGCGGGGCUCGAGCUCACAGACUGCGAGAUCGUGACCUGAGCCGAAGUUUGACGCUCAACCGACUGAGCCACCCAGACGCCCCAAAUAUUUACAUUUUUAAAGGACUGUGGCAAGGGAAUGAAGCUCUUACACCUACUGGACUACUGUAGGGUUGUUGGGAGAUAUACUUUGGGAAAAGUCGUGAGUCUCUCCUGAGGCCAGUGUGGAGACAUCCCCGUCCUUCCAGUUAGAUGAAGACAAGAGUUGGAAAUGAGUCUGGACUCAUGUUCCCUUCAUUUUCAACUUUGGAAACCUGGAGAUCCAAGGAUGAGAAGACCUGAGACCAAGAGUAGUUUCGAGCACACAAAACACAGCAAGAUCUAGAACUCCUACUUCUUCACACUUUCCUGCACAUACCAGAGCAGCCCGUGAUUGAUAGAAUUUCACGAAGAACGUAAGCCACCGACCAAGGAGGACACAUGUUUAGGUACUUCCUGACAACGCGAAUCAAAAUAAUAUAUUCAGUGGCAACUUCAGAAGGGAAGUAUGCGAAAUUCACUUUGGGAAGUGUGAACAAUAUUUGGAUGAAAUAAGAAUCCUCUGGGUAUCAAAUUGAAAUUCGCCCAGAGUAUGGGUGAGACUUUAGCACACAGGUUUGACUUUUGAUUCAUAACAGACUUCUGAUCUAGUUCAUAACCAUUUUUAAGAUAUUUAAGGGAGCGUAAGCUGGAUAAGUCACUCCAGCACGCAUUUCUUCAUAAACAAUAUACACGCUUGAAGAUAAUUAGCCCAGCUGUUGGGGCAUAUUUCAAUAUAUUUGACUCACAGAGGCUGAAAAUAGUAUUGAUGUUUUAUUGCAUUGAAGGAUAAAAUCAUCAAAAAACAGAUUAUAACUACAGAACUCAUAAAAAAUGGAAUAUGGAAGAAUGGAUGGCGAUCCAGACAGAGGUGGGAGAUCUCCUUUCUGGAAAACCAACCAGUUCAAGAGAGGAGACCACCAGACAAUGCCAUUUAGGCAUCCUCCAAUGAUACGUCCUACUCAUCAGGGUCACCCAGCACUGGAGACCUUCACAGAACAAGCCGCAUUCCUACUUAAGUGUCACGGUGGCAAUGUUCUUUCCAUGACGGAGAACACAGCAGUUUUGUGUGACAUUGGUGAUUGGUCACGAGGUCCACAUCGCCGGCACGCCUACACCACUUGGAAAACCUGCACCUUCUGUCCCCAGUCCCCGAAUCUCAUCAUCAAGGCUCUCAACCUGUUCUGCAAAUUCUCACCAAAGGUGCAGAUUCUUUGUGGCUCGUACCUCCAUUUUAUGCCCCUGGAAGUGUAGUAGAUAUUCAGGGCACACAGGACAUCUUCAAUUCCCUUCAUCAUCAACACUCUUGUCAAAGAGAAGCUUCUACUAACGUCUGCUGCGUAUACAUGCUGCUACUUGCAUUCGGAAAACACUGCCCCCCCCCCUCUUCUGGGCCUGGCCAACUACUCGAGGUCCCCAGGCAGGGACGAGAGAAUUCCGGUUGCUGCCUUCUUCAGACAGAAGCCAUGUAUUAACCCUUCAGCCAGAAAUCAACAAGAAGUUCUGGUUUCACAUGUAAAUUUCAACUUCACCGAGAUGGUCUUGAGAACACACAGAAAAGACUGCGGCCAAGGGCUCCAGAUGGCCUGGGGCAGCUUGAGGCGUAUGUGGAUCAAGGGCACCCCUCUUCAUGGAGUGGCCGCAUCUUUGGCAUGGGGACGGGCGGAAAACAAGCUUCACCUGCUUCCUGCCUGGUGUGUGGUCAGUGCCUGAGGACCCUGGGCCAUUUGAGCUUUAUUUAGUGACCGGGAUGACUCAUUCCCCAAAUCGCAGAAAUACGGGUUUUCCGUGGCAGUCAGCAUUUCUGGUUUCUGAUCCCGAGGAGAUUCCAUGGGCAUUAACACUGGCCAGAAGAAAACCGUGCAGCACCAGGGGAGCGUGACUUCCCUUUCCUUACGGAGGAGUAGCAUGUGGCAGGCAUCAUCAACUCCAAAGACAGCUUCAUACAAGAUUAGCAUCUUCAACAAGAGCGUCAGAGGCAUGUAGAUGAGGAAAAUGUAAUCAUAAUCACUCACAACAGAUUUCCUGGGCCAAAAAUCCUGCUUCAAUAGCAACAACAAAAGGUGAACUUGGUUAAAAUGAUUGAUGGGCGCUUCUCCUUUGCUCAAUUGUAUUCAGAACAGCAGAGGUCACACCUGGCUGUGUUCUCAUCAUACAGUUGAUUAUUGUUCCGGUUUUGGUCUGGGGUCUGCUCCUUACCACGAUGUGAGACCUUAGUCAACUUCCCUUUUCCUCAGUGAACUCAUCCUUAAAAUGGGGAGAAUAACUGUGCUGGCUGGGAUGUAAUAUAAGUGAAAUACUACCUGUUGUACAGAUUGAAUGGCAUGGUAAGAGGGACGUGCUUAGCACAGAGUCUGGCAUGCGACCCGUUCGCAUUAUAUGUUAGCCGUUAUUCUAGGACCUGCAAACCGUAUUUAACUAACACUUGAGUGGCUGUGCUUUCCUUUUUAUUUGUCCCUAGUAAUUGGCCACAUUGGAUAUUUGUUUUGAGCCAUAAUGAGGAUGAAAUAUAAAGAUAAAGCAGUCAUCCCUCAUAUUAUAAUUGGAAAGAAUCAUCUUUAAUAAACUUCAAUUAUAAGCCCUCAGGCAAGAAUAUUCUUUACGAGGCCAAGGAUAAAGAGAGCCAAUGCCCCAAAGAAUUGCACCCCAUUUAAAAAUUAUUCGUCCACAAGCCCAGGACAAAAUAAAGUUGAUUAGUGUCAAGUACAAUUCUGUUUUUUGACCACUUGGAUCGUGUCUGGCUGAGUUAGAAGAAGAUGGUUAUUAUUUUAUUUUACUAAAUGAGUUUUAAGUUUUUUUUUUUUAUAAGUCAUCUCUACAGCCAACCUGGGGCUCAAACUCACAACCCGAGAUCAAGAGUCACGUGCUCUUCCGACCGAGCCAGAGGGGCGCCCCACUAAAUGAGUUUUUAAUGCAUCCAUCCCAGUCUCUCUGUGGGCGUGUUUAGACUCAGCAGAGAGCUCGAUAUGACGGACAAGCAGCGAGGAGUUAGUGGACAGCAGAACAGGAACACUUCCCAAGAUGCCUGAAGGCAGUAAAGGCCUAGAGCCCCGAUCGAGAGUCUACCGCAGGAGGACACGUAGACAUGAGCCACAGAAUGGAAAACUCACAGGAUAGCAGGGAAAUGACUUCACUGGCCUGAAAUCCAGUCUCUGUUCUUUGGAGAGAAAGAAAGAUGGCUCCAAACUGAGAUCAGAUGGCAAGCGAUGCAAGUGAGGAUUUCAGUAUAACAAAGAGGAAAAAGCCUCCAUUUAUCAAGAUGCCCCAAAGCCGUCUUCUGGGAAAACUGUCACAAAAACCUUACAUAUCUACAAUGACUUGAAGGUUCAUGACAGUGUCUGGGGAUGUCUGGUGCCCAACCUGAUGUGUGCAGUGAACCGUAGUCCCUGAUAGACACCACUGCAGACAUUAAAGAAAGUGACAGAAAAUCUUGGGAUGUCUGAGCCACUGCCAGACGGCGACAGAUCUCGCAAGACCUGCCUCCCCUCUCAUCUCUCAGGAACUCAGCUGAUUGAAGGAAGCCACCUGUUCCCAGGCCGCCGCCGCUCCCUGUAAUCAAGAAAUAACCACGCUGGGGAGAAAUAUCUCUUUGUUGGUUCUGGUUAAACUGAGCCAUUUCUUUUUUGCUUCAUGCUCAAGGAGACCUGCGACACCUAAUUUUAAGACUUUGCUAAGCAGACACCCAUGUAGAGUAAAACCUUGGGUUGCGAGUAACGUGUUCUUCGAGUGUUCCGCGAGGCGAGCAAACCUUUCCAAUACAUUUUAACUUCAAAAACGAGCGAUGUCUUGCAAUGACUGGCCCCCAGGCCAGGCAGCCAGCCAAGAGCACCCUGUCCAAAGGGCUAAAAAUCAUAGGAGCUGAUACGUAUUGAAUCCUACCUAAGUGCCAGGCGCUGUCUUCUUGAAGCUGAAGAAUUUGUCUUCUCAACACGACGGCCUUAUCAGCUGCUGGUUCCUCUCAGAGUACCUGUGCUGGGGCGCACAGAGGGAGCUCAAGCCCUGAGAAGCUAAACGAUCUUCCGGGAAAGGCAGCAUUUAAGCUGCAGAUACUGCUAUCAUUCCCAUUGCACUGGCGGGAAGACUGAGAUUUGGAGAUGUUCGUGGGCUCGCCAAGUUCACGACUAGCACCUGCCUGCACAAGAGCUCUCUGAGUCCUUGGAGCAACAUGAGACGAUCUCUCUCUUUUUCCACUAGUUAGAAAAGGAAGUUCAACCAGAUGACUCCUAAGGGAGAUUCCUGCUGAAAAUGUAUGAGUCAACGAAAUAGUGAUCAGAUGGCAUUAAUACAUACUGUAGAAUUAUCUAAAUUGGAUAUCUGUAGAAGAAUGUAUUUUCCAUAAGGACCCAGGCUACAUGAUCAGCCUGCUGCAUGGUUGGUCUGAUCUGUGAUGGCAGCGUUGGUCACUGAAACAGAAGCCUGGUGUGGACAUCCAUGCAACGAUCGUCAGACUGUCCUCCGAACCAAACCUCAGCUGCAUCCCAAGUAGUAUCUUCGAUGCAGGCAAAUCAUUAAGGGAUUCCAUUUUGGCUCUUUUUAACCCUCAAAAAUCAGUUUGGUUUUAGUGCAAAAUCUACUUACCCUCCCAACUUCUAUCUUCAUGGGAAAAAUUGAACCAGCAUUUCCAAAAGAGAAGAAGCUUAGCCAUUUCCCUCUACCAUUUCCUCAAUUUGAUUCAUUCUGAGUCUUACGAUAUUAAGGAUGGCAUCAUCCUAAGAUAAGUAAAGUCCAGCAAAGUGAUUGGCGGGAUAACGGAAGAAAUGUGGAUGCCCUGUGUGUUGGGGGGAGAGAUGGACAUUGCCAAGGGAAGUGAUGAACCAACAACAUGGAGGUCAUGGAAAUUGCUGUCACAACUUCUAGAGAUCAGCCAAAAACCACGAAGUGAGUUUUGUUUUUAAUUUUAAGUAUUCUGCAUAAAAAUGUGGGGUAAUAUCACUGUUACAUGGGCUUAAAAGUUCACCGGUAAGCCUGGGCAUUCUAUUUGUUAGUUGAACACUAGUAUCUUGAGUCGCCUGCACCAGGAACCACAGCUUGAAAUCACCUGCAUCUAAAAUAAUAUCCUGCGCCUACACUGACAGCAUGGGUACCAGGUACGUUUGAUAGGGGGUGAGGAUACACAGCUGACUGGCCAGCUCGUGCCACCCGGUGAAUGUUCCAUGACAGGCACUGGCUUCAGCAGUCUUGGUGGGUAUGGCUGUCGUCUGCACUCUUAUCUCAGGCUGGUUUACAGUCGGAAGACCCAAACUUCUGCGGAAUUACUUGUGCAGGACCCUUUCAUGCCUAUAAUUUUGGUUUGGAGCCGCAGCAAAGAAUCAGCAUGAUGGGACCAUCUUUUACUUCCCAGGAAGUUGAAUAAAUAGAAGAGAAGGAAAAUUGCCACUAGAAAGGACAUGCACAUUUUGGGGGGGGGUCGUUAUUUUUGUUUUCACCUUUAAUUUUUUUUUCAGAUUUAUUGAGAUAUAAUUGACAAUAAGAUUGUAAGACCUUUAAAGGGUACGAUGCGAUGACUCAACAUACGUGUAUGUUAUCAAGGGAUUCCCACAUCCCACAACUGAACUAACAACAUAUUCAUCACCUCUACAUCUUUAUCUUUGUUUUUGUUUUUGCUUUUUUUCUUGUUUUGGGGGGUUUCUUUUGGUGAGAACAUUUAAGUUUUACUCUCUUAGCAGAUUUCAAUUAUACAAUAUAGUGUUAUCGACUACAGUCACCAUGUUUUACAUUAGAUCCUCAGAUAUUAUUCUUAAAACUGUAAGUGUAUACACUUCACCUUCCCUCUUGCCCCCACCCCCAGCCCCUGGCAACCCCCAUUCUACUGUUUCUUGCUAUGAGUUCAACUUUAUUUCUUUUCUUUUCCUUUUUAGAUUCUGCAUAUAAGUGAUGCCAUAAAGUAUUUGUUUUGCUGUGACUUAUUUCCCUUAAUAUAAUGCCUUCUGUUUCUAUUCCUAUUGCCACAGACAGCAUGAUUUCCUUCUUUUUGAAGGAAAUGUACAUUUUAAAAACUGUUUAUUUCUUUACUUUGCGGGGAGGGGGAGAGAGAGAUCCUAAGCAGAGUCCACGUUCAACACGGGCUCCAUGUCACGACUGAGAUCAUGAUCUGAGCCAACAUCCAACGUCGGCCACUUAACCGACUGAGCCAGGCAUCCCAGGAAAUGCAGGGUUUUUUUUUUUUUUUAAGUGGCAGGUGUCAAUUUAGACACAAUGGCCCCUGAUGUGCCUUCAGAAAAUAACUACUCUGUUCGCCCAGGCAAAUAAGGUCUGUUACCUACAGAUUUGACUUCUCACAUUACAUUAAAGACAAAAGAAAGAAGAAAGAACCAGCAAACAAAAAAUGAAAAGGGAAAGAGGGUGGAUGGAAGGUAGGAAGGACAGAAGGAAGAAAAAGGGGAGGAAGAAAGGCCGAGUGUUUAAAAAUACGCUACUUUCUGAAAGUUAUCCAAGUAGGUAAAUUAUAAAAGCAACAUAAAUGUCCAAAUCUCAUCCCAUUUACAUAAAUUAGCAUUCACCUCUUUGUCAGUUCUGACACUUGCUCAUUCUGCCAGGCAUGGUUAAGCACUCCCAGGAGCGGGAUAGAAAUGACCUUGCCAUAUAAGGCAGUGGUUUGAAACUACAGGAGACACACGACCCCUUAGCAGGCUUGGAAAUAUUGGACUCUCAGUGAAAUGACCUCCAUGUAGUGCCUUCCAACUUCUAUUAUCCAUCCCGCCUUCCUGAUGUGUCAGGGACUGACUGAUAGAUUAUGCCUUCUGUACUGGACAUUGAUAAACCGGUUCAAUGUGUCAGGCUUCAGCUCCAAAGCCGCCCAAGAUAGGGCAGAGUGUGAAAGAGAGUAGUCAGAUUCAGAGAGAAAAGCAGACAGAAAUAGAGUCUCCACAGAGCUCCAGUUAUUUUCUGCAAGCAACUGGCCCUCAGAAAACAGCUACCAUCGUGGGCCAGAUGCUAAGCAUGUGACGUGGGAAGGCCCUUCACAGAGCAUGGAGCGUCUCCACCGCACAGGUGUUCUGGCCCCAGAGGCCCACCAACCAGCGAUCUGAUUCUCUCAAGGGAUUAUGCAAUGCACACUCGCCUCCCAGUGAAAACGGGCCACUUACGCAAACACGGGAUCCACUGUUGUUAGCUUCGGCUGCUCUCCCUACCUCCAUCCUCCGGUUUGGAAACAGGAGACGCCUGAUGUAGGCAACGCAGGCUUCGCGAUUCUUGGGUCUCUCUACUUGUUAAAAUUGGCAGCCCUAGUUUCCACAUGGUGACCAUGCCGCUCUGAAAUGAGGCAUGAAAUGGGCAAGAAACGGAAACAAUGUUUGCCCUGAAUGCCCGGGACACAGAAGUUCCAGACGUAAAUUCACACGACGAAUGGUAUUAAGCGUCCACUCGGCUUCAGCCCGAGUUCGGUGGACUGCGGUAGGUCACGCCAGUAGACGGAGUCAGAGCAGAGUGGGGAGUAGUUCGUCUCCUUGGAUGCCGCGCCAUCUGAAUCUUCUCAAGCCCUGCCCUUCUUCCAACCCACCCACCCGUGCCCACUUCUCUGUAACCCACGUUGCUUCCUGCUUGGUUGCUUUUGCUGGAGGCUCUCCCCAAAUAUCCAACCUUCCAUUUGUGUGCAGCUUCUCUUCUUUCUAUCCUUGUGCUCAAACUUUCUUAACACUUAGUGGCUGCUCAGGAAGUUUGCGGAAGGGAGGCAGAGUGGGAAUGGGGUCCUGGAACUGAUUAUUUAUUUCAAAUACACACUGGCCCAUAGGGAGAGCCACCAAGCAUCACCUAUCUUAUGUGCCAGUCUAUGUAUUCUAAGGAAAGAAAAACCAUGCCAUGUCGCCCGAUAAUGACUCUCAACCAGUUGCCUCCUGGGACAUACUUGGGAAAGAUCACUGUCUUUCAUAUUGCAUGAUUGCAUGGGUGUGUAUACCCAGAGAGCAGGGACUGGGUGACCCCGGAUGUCGGUCUCUAUUUUCAUCUCUGUCUCUCCCACUGAAAGAAAGAGAUUGAAAUGUAGGAGUUGGAGAUACAUUAGAAGUGUAACUUUGAAAUUUAUUUGAAAUAAAGUAAAAUGAAAACCUUUACUUCAUUUUAAAGGCCACGUAUCUCGGGGAUUUUGCUGUUCAGGUGAGGGUAUUGGUUAUAAUCACCCCUGCUUCUCUUUCUUUGUGAAUUGUUACUUGACUUUUGAGAAUUUCUGGGGUUUCCAGGAAACGUAUGGGACUCGAGACCAGUAUACUGGCAAAUAAUUCUGGCUGUGACCCCUACUAGUUGUACAAACUGUCAAAAUCAGUUAAUCCUCUGAAGCCUUUUUUUCUUUUUUUCCAUAAGGGCAGAUUGGAGUAAAGCCCUUUUGAGAAUUUUGUAAAUCAUAUGAGAUGGAGUGUGUCCAGGGCCUUUUAAAAUCAAGCCAUUGUGCAUGCAGAAGGUUAUUAUCUGCUCUAUGACGCUGGCCCCUACUUCCAUUUGAGAUGGUUAGACUCUAAGAAUUGGUUUUAACUUCUUCACGAUUCACUGUAUUGGUACGCAACCAAGUAUUUGCAGGGUGAGAGUCUAAGAUCAACGUAAAGAACCCAUUCCACACUGGAUAGGAGCACGAACUCUGCAGCAAGUCUGUAUGAGUUCAGAUCCCGACCUUGCUAUUUGGCUUUGUUUCCCGAUUUGUAAAAUGGGGGUAAGACUACUGCCUACAGCACAAGAUUGGUAUAGGGACUCCGUGACGGAGACUGGUGCUUGGCACGUGUAAUGUGCUCCCUGAGCAUUUGCUGAAAUACAAUAAAACGUGCUCAAGGCUUUUGUGGCAACGACUGCUCUCGUUAGUGCCCUCGUCUAAUGGCUACAAAUGCCAUUUGAUCGCAGAGUUGUUGCCCAGAGAUCAGCACAACAAGUUUCUUUUUGGUUCCAAUGAGAUACUGGAAGCCUUUUUAUUUUUGCCUUUUCAGCCCCCACAAACCACUUCCCACGAUUCAUUUUUAUUGGCAACCAAACGCGCUGCUUUAAUGGCACGGAGAAUUUAAUCAAUUAAUGAAAUUCCAUAGGCCAUUUCCAGUUGCAAUAUUUUGAGAGGUUAAUUUUGCAAACACCUGAAUACUUUGGAGGAUCGUGGAGCAGACUGAGCUACUGGCACAUGCAUAACCUCAUUGGACCAAAGAGAGAAUGAUCAGGAUGUACGGUUAAUCAUUUCCCUAGCAAAUGUUCUUGGACAAGACGAUAAUCCCCUACCAACUGAGUGUCUUCAUCUUCAAUUUCCACAUUCAGGUUGUUUUCAAAAAUAAUGUCACAGAAAAAAGUCAUUCAUGGCCCUGACGAUAUUUACCAUGUGUGCUAACUUCUUUCUUUACCAUUGUCCACCUCCUUGCUCACAUCCCGGGAAUAAGCAACUGUGUGUGACAAAAAUACUUAUCAUUCGAACACGAAAUAUUAUAACAACAACAGCAGCGAGAGCAACAACAGCAACGACAGAAGAGUGAAAAGAAAGAGAAAAAAGCGUGUGUGUAGAAGCAAGGACGAUUGUUAACUAAUUGUCAACCAUGUUCAUAUUAGAGAGGAUGGUUUAUUCUAAUAGUCAAGGAACGCUGCUAGCAAAAUGGAGUUUUUAAUAACUAAUAUCACGUCAAAAAGUACGAGUUAACGAAACCAUAUUUAGAGUUGACAAGUGGGUUACGCUUUCACAUUUUCCACAUAUGAUGCAAAUGCAAUUUAAUGCAUUUCUUUUGCCCUUGAAUUCUCAAACUUCUGUCGGCAACAGUAUUGCCCGGAAGGCUCGAUAAACAUAGAUUUGUGCACCUGUCCCCGAAACUUCUGAUUCAGUAGAUUUGGGAUGCUGCCCAAGAAUCUGUGUUUGGAAACAGUUUUCUGGCUAUGCUGAUGCUGCCGGUGUGGGGACCACACAUUAAGAACCACAGUCCUAUCAUCCCCUUGUAACAAAGGGAACUGCAUUUUAUUGUGACAGACUGUUGACUUCUGUGGCCCCUGUAAGUCACACCUCCCGGGGUCCACUCCCAGCGCAUGUGACUUAUGUGACUUGCCUUCAACAAGGGAAUGAGACGGCAAUGCUGUUGUGCCGUUUCUGGACCUGAGCCUGGCAGCUUUUGCUUUUGGUGCUUGUGGAAAUCUGCCACUGUGUAAGGAGCCUAACUUCCCUGAGAACCUCACAUUUGGGAAUGUUCAAGAUCAGCACAUGGAGAGCGCAAUUGGAAAAGAACCGAGGAACCCAGCCGGCAAAGAGACCAAAGGUCCCAGGCAGACAACCUCAGCUGGGCUCCCCACAGCCAGCCAGCACCAACUUAUCUCACGAGUGAGGGUGUUUUAAACCCCCCAGUCAUCAGUCAACACCAGAUUCCAGAGUUUCUUUGACCAACGAUUACCAUGUGGCUUCCAUAUUCCCUGUCUUUGAAUGGGAGUUUCUAUUACGGUUUUCCUGUUCCUGGUGUACAAUUGUAUGUUGGGGAGAUGAGGGAGAGAAAGUCUAUCUCAUAUGCUCACAGGUCUCCAAAUCAAGUGGAAGGGUGCCUGAUGAAUGUCCUCUGCACCUGGAUUUAGGGGGAGAAAUCAGCCUUUUCUCUUGGGAAAUACUCAUCAGUGUGUUCAAAUACUGACAGAAGAGGUGCUGAAAACAGUUUUAAUUUGAUCUUAGAUGUUUUCCCAAAGAAACGAAGCAGAGCAAAAGUAGAAGAAGUCGUCGGUCGGCGGAAUGAUUGUGCGUAAAAGUUCUUCUGUUGCUGAGCGAGGGGCUAUUAUAUGACAACUGUUGUGUACGUAAUUUGGAGGACAAAAGCAUUCAUUCCUGAUGUACGUGUAUUCACCAGUGGAGAUACACCUCUCCAAGGCAGCAUGUGCACAGGCAUGGCCUCAGGCUGCAGAAACCCGAAAGUAGGACCAGAAGAGGAAGAACCCUUUAGAAUGAAAUGCAGUUGGAAGGAGAAUCAUGAGAGCUCACAGCUUACUUACCAGCUCUGACACGUAUAUUUGGUAAUUGAUGAUUAAAAAUGAGAGCAAACCAGCUGUUAAAUGAAAAUAAAGAAUAUACUGCGUUGCUCCCCAAA